UGUGUAUCCUUUAGAGCAUUUCAUAGCCAUGCACUUUUCCAUAUUUUUAACUCUUCACUUUCUUUAUGUUACUGGCUGUUUUCCCUUUUGUUGGAUUUUGAUUUUAUUUCCUUAGGUUAGGCAUAUGGUUUUAAUAAUGGAUACUAUUCUAGUAGUAAUAUCUAUUGGUGUCUACCUUCUUCUUUCUAGUUGUUUGCGAUACUUUCCACGGUUAGUUUUAAUUUAAAUGAUAUCAAUCCGCAUUAAUAAUUGGGUUUUAGAUUCUUAUAUGAUAUAUUUGUUAGCUUACAUCUUUAGUUGAUCCGGAUGUGGUUAAGCAUGCAGUAGUUUGGUGGAAACAAGCUUAUUAGUUUAAAUUGUGGUGAAAGAAGAAUACAAAAAAAUAAAAAUAAAAUAAAUGUCAAAGUGUGGGGCCUGGUUGCUCUCUAAUUAUUCUAAUCAGUAUUUGUGUCUUUUUUAAGUGUAUUGAAGGAGUUUGUUUCGUUCGCUAAUUUGUUUUCUUCUUUUCCUUUGUUGUGACAUGCCGACGGAGUCCAAUUCGGACUCAAGUCUUUCCCCUUGCAUUUCGGAUGGGGCCAUAAAGGUCCCAAAUCCCUUUUUUCCUUUUGAGUCAGCCCUCAUACCAAGCUGCGAAACCGGCGUACAGGUGGAAGCCAAUAAAUGAAGGCUGGAAAUUAAAUUUUGCAGGUCUCAAGAGGCCCCCAAAGGGCUGAUAUACCUGCUGUAUACACUUGUAUACAGCCGGAAAUAUGACUUACAGGUUGCAAAAAUACAAGGGUGCAAGUUUGAUGAUAAGACAUAAGUCAAUAGCUAUUGUUCAAGGAAAAAUGCAGAAAUACGGACCCAAAUACGAUUCACAUACAGGGAUAUACAUAAAGCAUAUACACAAAUUUCUUGAAAGCAAAUGGGGCCAAAGGCCCAAGGGAAUUCCAGCAAAUCCAAGAAUUGGGCCAAAGGCCCAAAUUUAAUAUUCCUCUCCUUGCUCUCAUUUAUUUUGUUAUAUUUGACUAACGUUUUGAUUAUUUUAUGAUUAUUAUUUAAUUAAA